AAAAACUUUACCUUCAAUUUUCUCAAAGCAGCUUUUUUCAGGAUAGCCCUCUUGUGCUUAAAAGCGACCAAAUAUUGCCCAGGGAACAGACAAGAACCUGAUGGCCAAGGAAAUAUCACAGAUGUUUGUGGACAGCCAUAAUGAGCUGUCAAUACUCAAGUUGUCUGGCAGACUUUGUUGUGUACCUUUGAUGGUAUUCAAAACGAUUAUUUAUUGACCUGUAAAGUGCGUUGCGACUUUGGGGACUCGCUGAGGAAUGGCAGGGUGGUGUGAAAGUGAAAAAAGUGCGAGGGAGAAUGUAGUGUUGGUUGGAUUCUUACAAAGAUCUCCAGGCUUGCCAACGGACGGUCGCAGAUUCUGCAGUUGGGGAUUUGAUAAGGCGGGGGGUUUUUUUGCCUCCACCGUUUCGACGGGCUAAAUUUAUCACAAGCACGGCACUAAAACUGUCCCACUUGGUGUUAUUUUGUUGGUGGGUCAUCGGAUGUUCUAACAUUUGAGAGACAUCGUUGGGAAUGUUUGUUUUUUGGUUCAACACCUUUGAUGUCUUAUUUAAAAACAAAUUUCUCUGUUGGUUUUAUUGAAAAAUAUUGAUUUAAGUUUUGUUUGUUUUUUAAUGUAAAUUUUCAUUUCCGAAGGACUCUCAAGGUGUUGAAAUUACCAAACUUUUGUGAUUCUGACAUUGAUGUGAAUGAAGGCGUUUGUACACAUCGCGACUCCAGUAUCUCCAUUUUUCAUAACAGUGAAAACAGUUCAUAACAAAGAGUGAGCUUAAGAAGUCACAUUUUCACUGUUAAAAAAAUGGAGAUACAACAAGAAAGCACAGAGUGUGACAGUCCAGAGGUCACGAUAUGUACUUUGCUGUUACUGUAUAUUAAUUAUUAUUGUUACGUUAUUGAAUAAAUGUGUUGUUUGUUUUUCAUGUCUCUAGCGUGACAGUGAAUGGCUGGUGUGCCUCUAUAUAAAUCAUUGAUGGUCAUGUCUCUAGCGUGACAGUGAAUGGCUGGUGUGCCUCUAUAUAUAAAUCAUUGAUGGUCAGGUCUCUAGCGUGACAGUGAAUGGCUGGUGUGCCUCUAUAAAUAAAUCAUUGAUGGUCAGGUCUCUAGUGUGACAGUCCUCCGUGUUGAGGCCGUGUGUCACCGAGACUUCGUACUUCCCCGUCAGUUUUGACAGUUGAUUGUAUUAAAAAGAAUUAUGCACUGUCACAAUG